GCGGUCUCCUCCUAAAGAGUAACGGAGGAGCACGAAGGUUGGCUAAUCCUGGUCGGACAUCAGGAGGUUAGUGCAAUGGCAUAAGCCAGCUUGACUGCGAGCGUGACGGCGCGAGCAGGUGCGAAAGCAGGUCAUAGUGAUCCGGUGGUUCUGAAUGGAAGGGCCAUCGCUCAACGGAUAAAAGGUACUCCGGGGAUAACAGGCUGAUACCGCCCAAGAGUUCAUAUCGACGGCGGUGUUUGGCACCUCGAUGUCGGCUCAUCACAUCCUGGGGCUGAAGUAGGUCCCAAGGGUAUGGCUGUUCGCCAUUUAAAGUGGUACGCGAGCUGGGUUUAGAACGUCGUGAGACAGUUCGGUCCCUAUCUGCCGUGGGCGCUGGAGAACUGAGGGGGGCUGCUCCUAGUACGAGAGGACCGGAGUGGACGCAUCACUGGUGUUCGGGUUGUCAUGCCAAUGGCACUGCCCGGUAGCUAAAUGCGGAAGAGAUAAGUGCUGAAAGCAUCUAAGCACGAAACUUGCCCCGAGAUGAGUUCUCCCUGACUCCUUGAGAGUCCUGAAGGAACGUUGAAGACGACGACGUUGAUAGGCCGGGUGUGUAAGCGCAGCGAUGCGUUGAGCUAACCGGUACUAAUGAACCGUGAGGCUUAACCUUACAACGCCGAAGGUGUUU
rnacentral:rRNA from 1 species